GUUUAAGCUAAUAAGGGUAUAUGGUGGAUGCCUUGGCGUCCAGAGCCGAUGAAGGUCGUGGGAUAGCUGCGAAAAGCUUCGGGGAGCCGCUAACCAGGCUAUGAUCCGGAGAUGACCGAGAUUGGGUAACCAAACAGGGAAACCCCUGUUGACGGCAAUGCCGUCGGGAACGCGGAGAACUGAAACAUCUAAGUACCCGCAGGAGAGGAAAGAAAACUCGACUCCCUAAGUAGCGGCGAGCGAACGGGGAUCAGCCUAAACCGGUGUAGUGCCAAGCUUGUGGGCGUUGCUAUACCGGUGUCGUGGGACCUUCAGAUCCAACCACAAUAGGGUCAAGGAGUUACAAAGUGAUCGGUUAGACGAAUGGCAUGGGAAGGCCAGCCGCAGCGGGUGACAGCCCCGUAGUCGAAAACCGAGCACCUCCUGAAGUCAUCCCGAGUAGUGCCAGACACGGGAAACCUGGUAUGAAUUCGCGGGGACCACCCCGUAAGGCUAAGUACUCCUGGACGACCGAUAGCGUAAUAGUAGCGCGAGCGAAAGGUGAAAAGUACCCCUGUUAGGGGAGUGAAAUAGUACCUGAAACCAUAUACCUACAAGCUGUCGAAGGCCUAUGGCCCCUCGGGGCAACGGCUGACGGCGUGCCUUUUGCAUAAUGAUCCGGCGAGUUACGCUGUAUGGCGAGGUUAAGGGUCUAAGGCCCGGAGCCGAAGGGAAACCGAGUGUGAAUAGCGCGAUUUGAGUCAUGCGGCGUAGACCCGAAAGCGAGUGAUCUAUCCAUGGGCAGGCUGAAGCGGAUGUAACAGUCCGUGGAGGGCCGAACGGGUAUAGGUUGAAAACUGUUCCGAUGACCUGUGGAUAGGAGUGAAAGGCUAAUCAAACUCGCAGAUAGCUGGUUCUCCCCGAAAUAGCUUUCGGGCUAGCGUCAGGUAAUUAGCGUGCGGGGGUAGAGACACUGAUUGGGAUAGGGGCCCUUCGGGGUACCCUACUCAGCCAAACUCCGAAUACCGCACGUGGUAUCCUGGCAGUCAGACUAUGGGCGAUAAGGUCCGUGGUCGAGAGGGAAACAGCCCAGACCGCCAGCUAAGGUCCCUAAUGUGUGCUAAGUGCAGAGAAGGAACUGAAGUCUCGAAGACAGCCAGGAUGUUGGCUUAGAAGUAGCCAUCAUUUAAAGAGUGCGUAACAGCUCACUGGUCGAGAGGCUUUGGGCCGAAAAUGAACGGGGCUCAAGUGCACAACCGAAGCUGCGGAUUGCAAGGAGUCGUUGGCUCCUUGCAGUGGUAGGGGAGCGUUCUGACUGGGUGAAGGGCUACGGUAACGAGGCCUGGACGGUUCAGAAGUGAUUAUGCCGGAAUGAGUAACGAUAAAGCAGGUGAGAAUCCUGCUCGCCGAAAACCUAAGGUUUCCUGGGCACGGUAAAUCCGCCCAGGGUUAGUCGGGUCCUAAGGCGAGGCCGAAAGGCGUAGUCGAUGGUCAACGGGUUAAUAUUCCCGUACUGCCAACUAGCGUUUGACCGAUGGGGUGACGCGGAAGUGAAGGUGAUCAGGCUGACAGAUGCCUGUCUAAGCCCGAGGGCGGUGUGUAGGCAAAUCCGCACACGGAAACCCGGAGGUGAAUGCGAGCGCACUAGCGCGAAGUCACUGGAUCAACCGCCUAGAAAAUCCUCUAGGGAGCUACGUUGGUAUCCGUACCAAAACUGACACAGGUAGGUGGGGUGAGAAUCCCAAGGCGCUCGAGAGAACUGCUGUUAAGGAACUCGGCAAAAUGACCCCGUAACUUCGGGAGAAGGGGUGCCCUUGAGAGUGUAGGCCUUCGCGGUCGAAGCUUUUGGGGGCCGCAGAGAAUUGGCCCAACCAACUGUUUACUAAAAACACAGGUCUAUGCUAACUCUUAACGAGGAUGUAUAUAGACUGACGCCUGCCCAAUGCCGGAAGGUUAAGGGGAGUGGUUAGCGUAAGCGAAGCUGCGAACUGAAGCCCCGGUGAAUGGCGGCCGUAACUAUGACGGUCCUAAGGUAGCGAAGUUCCUUGUCGGGUAAGUUCCGACCCGCACGAAAGGCGUAAUGAGUUGGGCACUGUCUCAACAGCAGACUCGGUGAAAUUGUAGUCGUGGUGAAGAUGCCACGUUCCCGCACCAAGACGGAAAGACCCCGUGAACCUUUACUGCAGCCUGAUAUUGGUGCUUGUUGUGUAGUGCGUAGCAUAGGUGGGAGGCGUCGAAGCGGAGCUUUCGGGUUCUGUGGAGCCAUUAGUGAAAUACCACUCUCUGCACAUUAGGUCUCUAACGCGUAUGUCUGAAUCGGCUGCGCGGACAGUUUCAGGUGGGUAGUUUGGCUGGGGCGGUCUCCUCCUAAAAGGUAACGGAGGAGCGCGAUGGUACACUCAGCGCGGUUAGCAAUCGCGCGUAGAGCGCAAGGGUAUAAGUGUGCCUGACUGCGAGAGAUAUAGCUCGAGCAGAUACGAAAGUAGGUCCUAGUGAUCCGGCGGAUUCCGAGUGGAAGGGCCGUCGCUCAUCAGAUAAAAGGUACUCCGGGGAUAACAGGCUGAUCUCCCCCAAGAGUUCAUAUCGACGGGGAGGUUUGGCACCUCGAUGUCGGCUCAUCGCAUCCUGGGGCUGAAGGCGGUCCCAAGGGUUUGGCUGUUCGCCAAUUAAAGCGGUACGUGAGCUGGGUUUAGACCGUCGUGAGACAGGUCGGUCCCUAUCUGGUGUGGGUGUAGGAUGAUUGAGGAGGUUUUCCCCUAGUACGAGAGGAUUGGGGAGGACGAACCGCUGGUGCUCCAGUUAUCACGCUAGUGGUACAGCUGGGUAGCUAAGUUCGGAACGGAUAAGCGCUGAAUGCAUCUAAGCGCGAAGCCUUCUCCAAGACGAGUCAUCCCUUAGAGUCCCCUGGGAGACUACCAGGUUGAUAGGCAGGCGGUGUAAGCACAGCAAUGUGUUCAGCUUACCUGUACUAAUCGGACCAUCGGCUUAAACAC
rnacentral:rRNA from 1 species